GAUUGAGAAGAGCCUUCAUCAAAUCCUUGGCGGCAGAAAGAAUUAUCACUACCUAAUUAGCCGUAACAGUCAGUCAGUGUUACCAGCACAGCAAAAUACAGUAAUCCCAAGAGAGCUGAGGCGUAUGCGGCACAGGUGACAGCCUGAAAAUAUUCACAGAGAUAUCGAGUGAAACUACAAAGCGGUUGAACUUGCUAUGCAAUGCACGGCUACGUAAAAUUCUCUCUUUAUGGAAAUUUCAAGCAGUUUCUCAAGGGACCUUUGGCCGAAAUGGGGUAAGAAGAGAUCACGAAAUAGGAAUACAGUCCUGACAAGCUGGUAAACCGGUUUCAAAGAAGCUGUAAGAAUUAUGAAACGAAAAAAUAUUCGCUCUUCUUUUAAGAAACUUUCCA